UUCUCCCUAAAUCCUUUUCACACGAAGUGGCACUGGUCAAAAUAAUGUAGAACACGAGGUCUUCCUUUGAGAUCAAUCAAAUCAGGCAAGAGAAAAUCCUCUGAAGUCAACAAAAUAUACAGUGCAUCUCUCUGCUCCUUGUCAAGUACCUCAGAUCUGCAUGUGAGGAUGGCCUAAAGCCCUGCUAACAGACUUCAAGAAGAAGCAAAAAAACAGCACGAGUAAAAUAUUAACAAAGAAGACCACAUUUGCUAAUCAUGUGGGAGUUGUAAUCACUUUUAAAGGAAAGCUUUAAGCCAUGUCAGACCUAAUGAGGCAUCUUUCAUUUAAUAUACUCAAAUGACUGAGCUGGUUUUACAUUGCGAGCUUCAAGGUGGGGAGGUAAUAAAAUAUCUUUAUCGCUAAUGACACAACAAAAACAACAACAAAGCUCCACAAUACAUAGUUAUG
rnacentral:lncRNA from 1 species